GGGGCGUUAGCUCAGUUGGUAGAGCAGCGGCCUCUUAAUCCGUAGGUCGAGUGUUCGAGUCACUCACGCCCCACCA
rnacentral:tRNA from 1 species